rnacentral:rRNA from 1 species
UACGUAGGGGGCAAGCGUUGUCCGGAUUUAUUGGGCGUAAAGAGCGUGUAGGCGGCCAGGUAGGUCUGCUGUGAAAACUCGAGGCUCAACCUCGAGACGUCGGCGGAAACCAUCUGGCUAGAGUCCGGAAGAGGAGAGUGGAAUUCCUGGCGUAGCGGUGAAAUGCGCAGAUAUCAGGAAGAACACCCGUGGCGAAGGCGGCUCUCUGGGACGGUACUGACGCUGAGACGCGAAAGCGUGGGGAGCGAACAGG